AACCGGCUUCGUCGUCGACUAGUUUUCAACUCAAGAACGGACACCGUCAAACAGAGAGGUCUGUUCCGCUUCCCAAACCGUCUUGUCCUCCGGCAGCAACAGCAAACAGCAGCAGCCCAGCGCAAGGCCAAGAGGCAAGAGCAUUGUCAUGGGUACACAACAUUUUCGUCCGCACUGCUCUCCGUCAGACCCUAGCCUUGUGCCCCUCAUUCGGCAUCGACCAGGCCGGAAAGGACGCGCGCAGUCUACCUAUCGCUCACCGCGCAUCCAAACACUGGGCGAAUGCAGCAACUAAUACUUGCACCUGCGGCUCCGUUCGCGCUCCUUGCAAUGCAAGGUUUUGCACAAGAACUCUACGAUUCUGUGCCCAGCACUUGGACGUAGUCGGCCGAUGGUGAUCGAGUGCACGGCAUAAGGCGGCUGCUUCAAUGGGUACGGCGCACUUCAGAAUCACGUCAGCGGCGGAGUGGACGACGGCACCUACAGCUGUCCGAUGUAGCACGCCAAAUUCUAUGUUUGUCGUCAGCCGCAGUGCAAUUUCACGGCCUCUCACAAUGAGAACUUUACAAUUAUUAAUAUUAUUAUAUAAUAUUAACCAGCACGUGACGCAUCUGUGCCCAGCACUUGGACGUAGUCGGCCGAUGGUGAUCGAGUGCAAGGCAUGCGACCUCUUUAUGUACAGUACCAGGUACAUUAACCAGCACGUGACGCAUCUGUGCCCAGCACUUGGACGUAGUCGGCCGAUGGUGAUCCGAGUGCACGGCAUGCGACCUCUUCAUGUACAGUGCUAGGUACAUUAACCAGCACGUGACGCAUCUGUGCCCAGCACUUGGACGUAGUCGGUCGAUGGUGAUCGAGUGCAAGGCAUGCGACCUCUUUAUGUACAGUACCAGGUACAUUAACCAGCACGUGACGCAUCUGUGCCCAGCACUUGGACGUAGUCGGCCGAUGGAGAUCGAGUAGACGGCAUGCGGCGGCUGCUUCAACGGGUACGACGCGCUUCACAAUCACCUCAGCGGCAGAGUGGAUGACGGCACCUACAACUGUCCGAUGGAGCACGCCAAGUUCUAUGUGUGUCGUCGGCCGCAGUGUAAUUUCACGACCUCUUACAAUGAGGACUUUUUCAACCAUAAACACCACCAGCACCACCAGGUCAACCAGGUGUGACGUGAAGACUGGGCAAUGUUGUCGCUAACUUGCAGGUCAUUUGUUAAUCCAGCUUGCCGCUUAGCCAAUCGCCUCUGUCCACGCACAUGCACAGCCAGUCUGGGUGCAAUACCCGUGCGUGCAUAGCAAGGCGCUAGGCCUAUGUUGCCUUGCAUUUGCUGCCUUCCUACGUGCCAGUUCGACGACAGGUACAUUAACCAGCACGUGACGCAUCUGUGCCCAGCACUUGGACGUAGUCGGCCGAUGGUGAUCGAGUGCACUGCAUGCGGAGGCUGCUUCAACGGGUACGACGCGCUUCACAAUCACCUCAGCUGCGGGGUGGACGACGGCACCUACAACUGUCCGAUGGAGCACGCCAAGUUCUAUGUGUGUCGUCAGCCGCAGUGUAAUUUCACGGCCUCUCACAAUGAGGACUUUUCCAACCAUAAACACCACCAGCACCACUAGGUCAACCAGGUGUGACGUGAAGACUGGGCAAUGCGGUCGCUAACUUGCAGGUCGUUUAUUAAUCCAGCUUGCCGCGUAGCCAAUCGCCUCUGUCCAAGCACAUGCACAGCCAGUCUCGGUGCAAUACCCGUGCGUGCAUAGCAAGGCGCUAGGCCUAUGUUGCCUUGCAUUUGCUGCCUUCCUACGUGCCAGUAACGCCACUUUUAGACUGUACAAAUGUGUUCUAAUGCUCACACGUACACGGUGUCCUAAUAUGGACUCUGAGUUCUUGUUGCAGACUACAGACAGACUGCUACCUUGAACUUGCUUGAACAGCGAUACACAUCCUGGUAUGGCAUGUGCAACGAAAGCUUCGCCAACUGUGCAGUGUACAAUGUACAUGUACUGCGCAGAUCUACGCCGUGAUACAAGUCUUCUUAAAAGUAAAAUACCUGCGCAUACCUGUCCCAAUUUUGUAAAACCUGGCCGAACUUUUAUUUCCCUGUUCUUUCGUUCUUGGACUUUUCUGGCCUCAAAAAUGCCAAGGAGUAAUUGCACGGGUCCCACAAUGCAGGAUGUACUCUUGGUUUCACGAUA